UACGAAGGGUGCGAGCGUUGUUCGGAAUUACUGGGCGUAAAGGGUUUGUAGGCUGAAAUGUAAGUCAAGUGUGAAAUCCCCGAGCUAAACUUGGGACGUGCAUUUGAAACUGUGUUUCUUGAGUAUCGUAGAGGGUGGUGGAAUUGCAGGUGUAGGAGUGACAUCCGUAGAGAUCUGCAGGAACAUCGGAGGCGAAGGCGACCACCUGGCCGAUUACUGACGCUGGAGGAAACGAAAGCGUGGGGAGCAAACAGG
rnacentral:rRNA from 1 species